rnacentral:rRNA from 1 species
GGGGGUAGACUAACCAGGAUGCCCUUAGUAACGGCGAGCGAACCGGGCAGAGCCCAACUUGAAAAUCUCCAGCCUGCGGCGAACCCCGUUGGGACCGGUGCCUGUGGCUCCACGAGACGCUUUCGAAGAGUCGGGUUGUUUGGGAAUGCAGCCCAAAGCAGGUGGUAAAUCCCAUCUAAGGCUAAAUACAGACGGGAGACCGAUAGCGAACAAGUACCGCGAGGGAAAGAUGAAAAGAACUUUGAAAAGAGAGUUAAAAAGUGCUUGAAAUUGUUGAGAGGGAAGCGAUUGGAUCCUACGGGUGCGCCCAGGCACACGCCUGCCUAACGGUUGGCUGAAUGCGCUGGGUGCUGGUCAGCAUGGGUUGGCCGGGCGGGACAAACCCGGGGGUUGUUACCCCGGCUAUGUCGCCUGGCCGACCGAGGAACGAAGGGCGCUCUCUGAGUCCUCCGGGAACUGCGUCCUCAAGAUGCUGCGAACGUCCUCCCCC